rnacentral:lncRNA from 1 species
GAGGGAGGAGGGGAGGUUUUAAUGGUAGAUCAACCAAGAGAAGAUUGGGAUUUAAAAGAAGAGGAUAGGAAAGGAAAUUAACUCAAUUAAUCAAUGGAUAACUUAGCUGCUCUCUGGCGUAAUCAAUCCAAACACCAUCGAUCAUCCCUCACUGGCAUACGACACCCAAUCCAACUGUUCUUGUAGCCUUAUCCUCAUCCAUGCCUUG